AGGCUGGUUGAAUGAGUUGCCUAUGAAAGCUACUUCAUCUGUAAGAAAACAGGCGUCUGCACCAGUGACUGGGUCAGUUCUCUAAAAUGAGUCUCUCUGGGGAGAGAGAUGAAGGGGACCCUGCCUCAAAAAUGAGACUCUCUGGGGAGAGAGAGGGAGGACCUGACACCAAAGCUAAGAGUCCAAUCAAGCAGGAGAGACCAGCCUCCCCUGUUCCCAGCUGUGUGUCCAUGAAGAGUGACCAGUCUAUGGAACCUCCUCUAACCUUUAGAGAGGGAGUCUUUUCUACUGACCAAAGGUAAGAAGAACUCAUGGGUCCUGGUCAGUGAGUUAAACAACACUGUCUCUAGUCAUUUCUCCUCCCAUUUUCCCAUUUAUUGUUGUUGUUUUCAUAAUCCAUAGGCUCAUCCUUUUGUCCAUUCUCAUAGUCCUAAAACAAUAUUAAACAAACACCACAUUCCCUCCCUGUGUGACUGUGUGUGUGUGUGUGUGUGUGUGUGUGUGUGUGUGUGUGUGUGUGUGCUUGUGUUUGUGUGUCUGAACUCCCUGGAUGAGGAGAUGUAAUAUUAUAUUAUAUUAUAUAUCUAUUCUGUUUUUCUAGUCACUUUUACCCCUACCUACAUGUACAUAUUAUCUCAAUUAUAGUCUCAUUAUUACCUCAACUACCUGGUACCCUGCACAUUGACUCAGUACUGGUUCUCCUUAUAGUCUCAUUAUUACCUCAACUACCUGGUACCCUGCACAUUGACUCAGUACUGGUUCUCCUUAUAGUCUCAUUAUUACCUCAACUACCUGGU